UACGUAGGGGGCAAGCGUUGUCCGGAUUUAUUGGGCGUAAAGAGCUCGUAGGCGGUCUGUCGCGUCUGCUGUGAAAACUCGGGGCUUAACCCCCGGGCCUGCAGUGGGUACGGGCAGACUAGAGUGCGGUAGGGGAGACUGGAAUUCCUGGUGUAGCGGUGAAAUGCGCAGAUAUCAGGAGGAACACCGGUGGCGGAAGGCGGGGUCUCUGGGCCGAUACUGACGCUGAGGAGCGAAAGCGUGGGGAGCGAACAGG
rnacentral:rRNA from 1 species